rnacentral:sRNA from 12 species
UGCCUUACAAGUAGUUGUAAGGGUUGAGAAUUGUUGUCAACAGUUCGCCGAGCAAUUCCAAUAAGAGUGAUCGG